GUGAGGAAUAUUGCGCAAUGGAGGCAACUCUGACGCAGCCAUGCCGCGUGCAGGAAGAAGGCGCUACGCGUUGUAAACUGCUUUUAACCGGGAAGAAACCCCAGGACGUGUCCUGGGUUGACGGUACCGGAGGAAUAAGCACCGGCUAACUUCGUGCCAGCAGCCGCGGUAAUACGAAGGGUGCAAGCGUUAUCCGGAUUCAUUGGGUUUAAAGGGUGCGUAGGCGGAGCGUUAAGUCAGUGGUGAAAUCCUGCAGCUUAACUGUAGACUUGCCGUUGAUACUGGCGCUCUUGAGUGCGCUUGAAGUGGGCGGAAUGUGCCGUGUAGCGGUGAAAUGCUUAGAUAUGGCACAGAACACCAAUUGCGAAGGCAGCUCACUAAGGCGAUACUGACGCUGAGGCACGAAAGCGUGGGGAUCGAACAGGAUUAGAAACCCCAGUAGUCC
rnacentral:rRNA from 1 species